rnacentral:rRNA from 1 species
AGCUACAUAUUAAAGAGAUUUAUUUAUAUAAAUAGGCUUGCUAGCUGAUUGUAUAUAUAUGCUGGCCGUAUUUCAUAGCAAGCUCGCUUUUAAUAGGCAACCAGUAAUAUGAGCAAUUCUUUACCUACAAGCCUAUAAUUAUAUUAACUCUAAGAGAAAUCUAAUAAUAAACGGAGUGAAUUGAAAUAUCUUAUUAACUUCAGGAAAAGAAAUCAAAAGAGAUUCUAUGAUUAGCGUGAGCUAAAAUAGAGUAGCCUAGAAAGUCAAAUGGUGGAUAAACUGUUUAAAUUUAAUGGGGAACCUUCCUCAAAGGCUAAAUAUAAUAUGUAAGCGAUAGUGGAAAGUACCGUGAGGGAACCAAAACAAAAACAGUGAUUUUAUAAGCAGUUCGGAAAAAUAAAAAAGUUAGAACGUACCUUUUGCAUAAUGGGUCACCAAGUUAACAUUAGAUGCGAGAUUCUACGUAGUUAAACCGAGCGUUAAAAUAACGGUAAGUGUCUAAAGUUAGACCCGAAGCCUGGUGAUUUUACCAUAAUCAGGAUUAUAAAAGUCCGAACGGAAUAUUGUAGCAUAAAUAUCCGAAGAAUUAUGGUAGGUGUAGUGAAAGACAAUACUGACCAGGAUAGCUGGUUUUCUGCGAAACCUAUAACAGUAGGCAAUUUAAGUAUAAUAUCUUAGCAGGUACAGAAUUUAAUCUCAGACAAGACAUAAGGCUUAACUUGUUAACAAGUUAAGCCCAUGUUUUAUUUUGUACAAAUUGGGGGAUCAUGAAGAUUUUAUCAGUGAGUAUGUAGACUCGGAAUGGCAAAGAUAUAUCUUAAAUCAUCAGACAUAGAAUGAUAAGGUUGUAUGUCAAAAGGGAAACAGCCCAGAACAAGAGUUAAGGUUCCUAAAUUAUUAGUUGAGUGAAAUUAAGAAGGUUUUUAUUAAAGUCGACAAGGAGAUAGGCUUAGAAGCAGCCAUAAUUUUAUGACCUCGUAACAGAGCGCUUGUUAAGUUUUAAAAGCAUCGAAAAUUUAUCGGAUCUAAACAAUAUACCGAAACCUUGUCCAUAUUAUUUUAUAAUUAAUAGUCUCAGCAAGCUCGGACUAUACAAUUAUAAUUAAAUGGGGUAGCAGAACGUUGAGCUAAAUUAAGAUUUUUAUUUUUUAAAUGAAAUUAUAAUAAUUUAACUCAAGUGAUAAUGGUGACAUGAGUAACUAAAAGAAAAUUUUCCGCCUAAAGCUUAUGGAUGUAAUUAAGUAACGGCCUCUAAGUUUAUGGAAUCAAAAGAUUAAAACGAUGAGACAAUCUUUCAUACUAAGGACGACAUUUUAAGUGCAAAAUGUACUGGAAAAAUAGUAAUAAGUUUAAGCUAUGGCUAGAACUAGCUAUAGCUGUAAAUGGAAAGUAACCGUACCUAGAAUCUGAAACAAGUAAGCUAGUAGAGAAUACGAAGGCGUAAAUGAGCUAACAAUCAUAAAGGAACUCGGCAAAUUGACUACCGUAACUUCGGGAUAAGGAGAGCUCAUUAUUCUUGAUUAAUAUCAGGUAAAGAGGAAGAAGCAUGAAAUAGUGUUGUACGACUGUUUAAUUAAAACACAGCACUUUGCUGAAAGAUUAAAAAUCUAAGUAUAGAGUGUGAUGUCUGCCCGGUGCCGGCUGGUUAACAGAUAUAAUUAAAUAUACUAAUAUUUGAUGUAGACGGAAACCCCGGUUAAAGGCGGCCUUAACGUGAGGGUCCUAAGGUAGCGAAAUGCCUUGGCCGUUAAAUGCGGUCUUGCAUGAAUGAUGUAACGAUACAACAGCUGUCUCUAUGAUUGACUCAGUGAAAUUGGAAUAGCUGUGCAGAUACAGUUUACCUCUAGUUAGACGAGAAGACCCUAUGCAGCUUUACUGUCACUAAUUAUAGAGUAUGAUAAACAAUUUUCAGUUUAUAAGGUAAUUGACGGCCGGCUUGCUUAGCAAGCUGGCUCUAUGACAAUGAGAAUCCUUUAUUUUUUUUUCAUAUGAAUGAAUUGGUUUAGGACGAGCUUAAGCUCGUAGUAAAUCAACCUAAUUCAGCUUAUUUUCCUUUCUGCUGUAAGCGCAUAAUGAUAGAUUUUACUUAAAUUUGGAUUUAUGCCUGCAGAAAUAGAUAAGUACCCUUGGUUAAGGAACUAUCGCUAGGGGACAGUUUAUGUGGGGCACAGACCCUGUAAAGAGUAAACAGGAGUGUCUAAUAAUUUAUAAUUAUUUUGUUUGCGAUUUAAGGUAGUAGAACUAUUUUUAAUCAUAUAAAAUUAUUUAUAUGUACAUUCGUUGUAUAUAUAUUUAAAAAAAGGUAGGAUUUUCACUAUAUAGAAAUUAGAGAUAAUAAAAAUAUUAAGUAGUAGCUGCUGAGUCCUAAUCCCGCCGAAGGGGGGAUAUGGACUACUAUGUAUUUCAUAGCAAGCUCGCACUAAUAUUUUUUAACUAUUAAGACUGGCUAUCUAGCUAUGCUCUAAUAGUUAUGUUUUAAUUAUCUAAAAAGCUCAACGGCUAAAUCUUGCCUUACUGUUUGAUUAUCAACAAAUCUUACAGUUGCGUAAGCAGGGCAUAGGAUCACAAGAUGCAACAAGGAAAGAUCUUGGAUUAUUGGAAAAGCUACGCUAGGGAUAACAGGCUAAUUUGCGCAAGAGUGUACAAAAUGAGUGCGCGGUUUGGCACCUCGAUGUCGGCUUAACUUAUCCUCAUGGAUGCAGGAACUAUGUAGGGUGCGACUGUUCGUCGAUUAAAAAGUUACAUGAGCUGGGUUAAAUACGUCGUGAGACAGUAUGGUUUCUAUCUUCUAGGGGGAAUUAGAAUAUAAUAAGAACUAACUUUUGUACGAAAGGAACAAGAAGAAUUUAAUUUGUAAAAGGGUUAAAUAAUAGUUACUAACCUAUGGUUUACCUGUUGUCUAUGUGCCCAAAUAUUAAAAUAUAGGAUAAAAAUUCUAUAUAUCUGUAUAGCUUUAGCUAUACAUAGGGAUGUUUCUUUCACUAAGAUAAAUAUAUAGCAUAGGCACGGCAGGAAAGCUAAGUUGGUUAAGGAUAAGUGCUGAAAGCAUAUAGGCACGAAGCUUAUCUUAAGAUAUUUCUUAAAUAUACGUAAAAUAUUAUUACGAAGGAUUAAUAUAGGCUUUAUCCGUACGAAUCUGGAGAUUUUUAAGAAUAAAGUACUAAUUUUAUAAAUAACUAUUUAU